GAUGAACGCUGGCGGCGUGCUUAACACAUGCAAGUCGAACGGAAAGACCCUGCUUUUGUGGGGUUCUCGAGUGGCGAACGGGUGAGUAACACGUGAGUAUCCUGCCCUUGUCUUUGGGAUAACUUCAGGAAACUGGGGCUAAUAUCGGAUAGGAUCUCCUGCUGCGUGGUGGGGGUUGGAAAGUUUCGGCGGUUGGGGAUGGACUCGCGGGUUAACAGCUUGUUAGUGGGGUAGUGGCUUACCCAGGCUUUGACGGGUAGCCCGCCUGGGAGGGGGACCGGGCACCAUGGUACUGCGAGACGGAGCAGACUGCUAUGGUAGGCAGCGGUCGGGAGUCUGGCACAAUGAGCCCGAGUCUGAGGCGAAGGCGCCGGGUGCGUGAUGACGGCCUUCGGGUUAUGAACCGCUGUCGCCUGAGACGAAGCGUGAGUGACGGUAAUGGGUAAAGAAGCACCGGCUAACUACGUG
rnacentral:rRNA from 1 species